GACGAACGCUGGCGGCGUGCUUAACACAUGCAAGUCGAACGGAAAGGCCUCUUUCGGGGGGUACUCGAGUGGCGAACGGGUGAGUAACACGUGAGUAACCUGCCCUUGACUUUGGGAUAACUUCAGGAAACUGGGGCUAAUACCGGAUAGGAGCUCCUGCUGCAUGGUGGGGGUUGGAAAGUUUCGGCGGUUGGGGAUGGACUCGCGGCUUAUCAGCUUGUUGGUGGGGUAGUGGCUUACCAAGGCUUUGACGGGUAGCCGGCCGGAGAGGGUGACCGGCCAAAUUGGGACUGAGAUACGGCCCAGACUCCUACGGGAGGCAGCAGUGGGGAAGAUUGCACAAGGGGUGGAAGCCUGAUGCAGCAACGCCGUGUGCGGGAUGACGGCCUUCGGGUUGGAAACCGAUUUCGCUCAUGACGAAGCUUUGUGUGACGGUAGUGGGUAAAGAAGCACCGGCUAACUACGUG
rnacentral:rRNA from 1 species